UACGGAGGAUGCGAGCGUUAUCCGGAUUUAUUGGGUUUAAAGGGUGCGCAGGCGGGAAAGCAAGUCAGAUGUGAAAACUCAGGGCUCAACCCUGAGCCUGCAUUUGAAACUGUUUUUCUUGAGUGCUGGAGAGGCAAUCGGAAUUCCGUGUGUAGCGGUGAAAUGCGUAGAUAUACGGAGGAACACCAGUGGCGAAGGCGGAUUGCUGGACAGUAACUGACGCUGAGGCGCGAAAGCGUGGGGAGCAAACAGG
rnacentral:rRNA from 1 species